rnacentral:rRNA from 1 species
AAAGGGUGCGUAGGCGGGCAAUUAAGUCAGGGGUGAAAUCCCGAGGCUCAACCUCGGAACUGCCCUUGAUACUGGCUGUCUUGAGUCCGGAAGAGGUGAGUGGAACUGCGAGUGUAGAGGUGAAAUUCGUAGAUAUUCGCAAGAACACCGGUGGCGAAGGCGGCUCACUGGUCCGGAACUGACGCUGAGGCACGACAGCGUGGGGAGCAAACAGGAUUAGAUACCCCUGU